UACGUAGGGGGCAAGCGUUGUCCGGAUUUAUUGGGCGUAAAGAGCGUGUAGGCGGCUGGGUAGGUCCGUUGUGAAAACUCGAGGCUCAACCUCGAGACGCCGAUGGAAACCCCCCAGCUAGAGUCCGGAAGAGGAGAGUGGAAUUCCACGUGUAGCGGUGAAAUGCGUAGAGAUGUGGAGGAACACCAGUGGCGAAGGCGACUCUUUGGUCUGUAACUGACGCUGAGGCGCGAAAGCGUGGGGAGCAAACAGG
rnacentral:rRNA from 1 species